CAUGCCCCUAGAGACGUUAUAGGAGUGGCUGCUGUGUCACAUAUGUGUCUGUAGGUAGCAGAGAGCAGAGAGGCUAUGUCUAUACUCAGUGUUUUCACAUGUGAACAUCUGAAUGAUUAGUUGCCUAACAUU
ensembl:snoRNA LOC120101286 small nucleolar RNA SNORA17